GCGAGAAAACUUUGCAAUGUGCGAAAGCACGACAAGGUUAAUCCGAGUGGUUUCUGCUGAAGGAACCUUUUGUCGGUCCUAGAAACACCGAUGAAUAAGGGGUGGGCAAGUUCUGGUGUCAGCCGCCGCGGUAAAACCAGCACCUCAAGUGGUCAGGAUGAUUAUUGGGCCUAAAGCAUCCGUAGCCUGCUCUAUAAGUUUUCGGUUAAAUCCAUGUGCUCAACGCAUGGGCUGCCGGGAAUACUGUAGAGCUAGGGAGUGGGAGAGGUAGACGGUACUUGGUAGGAAGGGGUAAAAUCCUUUGAUCUAUUGAUGACCACCUGUGGCGAAGGCGGUCUACCAGAACACGUCCGACGGUGAGGGAUGAAAGCUGGGGGAGCAAACCGG
rnacentral:rRNA from 1 species